AAUACUGUUAUUUCAAUAAACAGUUUAAUCCUGUAAAUUUACAGUCUAUGUUCCAUAAAUUAAUUACUUGACGUAAAUUUACAGCAUUUAUGUGUAAACCCAUUUGUUUCUGGAAAAAAACAGUCUUGGACUGUAAAAAAAUAGCACGUGGGGGCGGGGCAUCUUCAACGCAGUCUAUUUUCGAACAGAAAGCAGUCAAAUUAACAGAAUUGUUUCGCAACACUCAUCUAGAAGGACACUGUUCAAGGAAUCAUUCACUUGAUGUAAAGGUUUUACUGAGACAGUGCACAGCCCUAAUCUUUGGGAGGGCAGAGAACUGUACUGAACGCUGGAUGAUUACCCUAGAGAGUCGUGUUGUUUGUGAGGGCAUACAACCAAGAUUCCUGACUGCAAUAGCAACCAUGUUUGCAAUGUUCUACGUCUUCAAUGUUAAGUAUCCAGAGGAGGCAUGUGGCACCUUGGAAUUCAU